GUGCACUGAUGUAUUGCCAACACAUCAUUCUGAAGAAGAGUGUGUGAUGACUUUCUGUGACUAAGCACA